UACGAAGGGGGCUAGCGUUGCUCGGAAUCACUGGGCGCAAAGCGCACGUAGGCGGAUUGCUAAGUCAGGGGUGAAAUCCUGGAGCUCAACUCCAGAACUGCCUUUGAUACUGGCAACCUUGAGUCCGGGAGAGGUGAGUGGAACUGCGAGUGUAGAGGUGAAAUUCGUAGAUAUUCGCAAGAACACCAGUGGCGAAGGCGGCUCACUGGCCCGGUACUGACGAUCAGGCACGAAAGCGUGGGGAGCAAACAGG
rnacentral:rRNA from 1 species